ACAACCGUGCCAAAGCCCAGGCUUAGCACAAGAACAACUUUAAAUUUAAUCAUGGCGCUUUUCCCCCAAUUCAUCGAGGCCUUGGCCACUACUUCACAAAUUUCACAAGAAAUUGCCCUUUUGAAAUCUUAUAAUUUCCAAAUCGAAGAUGGACAUGGACAUUUUGGAAAUGGACCAGUUCCCGCUGUUCGAGGAUUUGGCGAUGCUGGACGAUGGGUCCGGCCUCUCGCUGGAGUAUGAAGACGGCGUGGGAAAAUGUUUCCCUGGUAAUGAUCCGGCUCCCAAACUGGUCAUCGACCAGGCCGGCAAGGAAGUGCUAGAUGACCUGCUCCGUCUAAGUCAAAAUGGUAUGCAAGAUUAAAUUAGUUACUGUUACCUUCAUAUUAUAUAUAAUUUUUGUUUCCUUUAAACAAGAGAUGUGCAUUAGAUUAUUCAGGUGUCUGUUGUCUUUUUCAGAACCAUUGGAUCUUGACUGGAUGGAAACAGGGAGUCUUGAGCAGUUCCUUGUAGGCAUGGGAGCAGACCAUAUCAACACUCCAGACACUCAACAGGUCUUGCAGGCAACAGAGCCAAUCGUUGUGAUAAAAGACACAAAUGUGAACCACAGUGUUCUCCACGAUUUGCUCACUCAGCCCAUUACGAUUAAGCAGUCCCCAACUGUUAAAGUGAGCCCUGAACCAGUGGUUUCACACGAACUGUCACAAAUUGACUUGAUGGAUGAUGGUGUUCAAGCAUCCUUGCUGUCAGUCAUUGCGAGUUCCAGCAAUGACGAAAACGAGGUGCCAGCAGAAAUAUCAUUCGACUCCGGUUACAUGGACUCGAGUUUGAAUACCUCCUCUUCCUCAAAGCCUGACUUGCUUGAUGUCAGCAGUGUUGAUAGUCUCAUCAGCUCUCCUCUCUCUGCUGAAGAGAUUGACAGUUUAUUAUCGGGUUCAGAACCCUCUUCUCCAAGUAGCCGAAGUGAUGGCAACGACCCAGACUAUUCUCCAUACCAGAGCGACAGUGAAGAGUACAAAUCAAAGUCGCGUACUGGAGGCAAACAGAAAUCAAAGAAGAGGCGAUCUGGUCCGUAUAAUACCUCUACUGGAGAUCGAAAAGACAGAAAGCGUGAUCAAAACAAAAAUGCCGCUAUUCGAUAUCGUAACAAAAAACGAGAGGAAGCAGACCUACUCAAGAAUGAAGAAGACAAACUUGCCGAAAAAAACAAAGAACUUAAUGAUAAAGUCAGUCAGUUGUCUCGUGAAAUCAAUUACAUGAAAGACCUUAUUUCUGAAGUUUGCAAAGCUAAAGGGUUGAAAGUCACAUUUAAAAACAAGUCUCAGUAAAUUCUUUCAUCAUGACCAGGGAUUGUUUAUAUGUUCAUUGUAUAUUGACCAUUAAAAGAUUAAUCAUCUU
rnacentral:misc_RNA from 1 species